rnacentral:lncRNA from 1 species
CGCUUAAUGAAGUAAAGCCAUUAAUUUUGAAUGCUUGUUGGUCUAAGCUGUGGAAGGAGUGUGUGAAUGAAUUGGCCCAUCAUAAACUUCCAGAGAUCAAGGAGGUAUAUAGUGAAUGUUGCAAAAUGUCUAGAUGAUGAAGGUUUGGCAGACAUAAAAGAUGAUGACAUAGGGCAAUUGCUGCAACCACACAAUGAGAAGUUGAUUAAAGUGGAAUUGGAGGAACUAAUCAGAUCUAAUGAAGAAGAGGAUGACAACAAAGAAGAUAAAGACAAAAAAGCAAAAUGAUUCUCAUAAUCUAAACUAAACAAAGGACUCUAAUGGAAAUAAUCUCUCAGAAUUUUUCCUUGAAAUCAAUCCCAACAUGAAGGAAAGUUUAAAAUUAAAAUAGGGUUUGGAAGAUUUGUUAACUCCAUAUGAACAGUUACAAAAAAGAGUUUCAGAAAAAAAUGAAGCAAAUAUCUCUUCUGAGCUACUUAGAGCAAUCUGCAAUCAUCUGAUAACAGCUCUCACUCUUCUACCAGCAUCUACUUAAAUAUCUAUCUAAACAUUUAUUUCAAUCAAAUUAUUU